UAGGGAAUAUUCCGCAAUGGGCGAAAGCCUGACGGAGCAACGCCGCGUGAGUGAAGAAGAUCUUCGGAUUGUAAAGCUCUGUCAACAGGGACGAUAAUGACGGUACCUGUGGAGGAAGCCACGGCAAACUACGUGCCAGCAGCCGCGGUAAUACGAAGGUGGCAAGCGUUGUCCGGAAUAACUGGGCGUAAAGCGCAUGUAGACGGCUUAGCAAGCCAAGUGUGAAAUUUAGGGGCUUAACCUCUAAGCUGCGCUUGGAACUGCUGAGCUUGAGGGCAGGAGAGGCAAGUGGAAUUCCCAGUGUAGCGGUGAAAUGCGUAGAUAUUGGGAGGAACACCAGUGGCGAAGGCGACUUGCUGGACUGCAACUGACGUUGAGAUGCGAAAGCUAGGGGAGCAAACG
rnacentral:rRNA from 1 species